rnacentral:antisense_RNA from 1 species
GCUCUGCCCAGUGGCCUGGCGCAGGAAAGGUGACCCAGUAGUUCAGCCUGUCCCAGCUGCCUGCCCCAGCACCAUCCCAGACCCCUUUCCCUGGGGCCCACCUUGGCCCUGAGGAAGGCCAGAGCUCGGCUGCUGUUCUCCAGGAAGUGCACACGCAGGCGGCCCCGGCUGGGGGGUGGCAGGGCCUCCCCUGAGAUGAGCUCCAGCAGCCGCAGGAGGUGGAUGCCGUCAGCCAGCUCUGUGUACAGGUUCCGGAUCUUGAUGCCCGCCUGGGGAGGGGACAGGGGUAGGUAUGGGGUCAGCCCAGCCUCACCUGUCCUCCCAUCCUGGGACCUGAGAGGUACGACCCAGAGCAGCUGCUUUGGAAGAAGGAGCUCUGGCCUCAGCUUGGCCUCAGGCAGAUGACCCCACAGCUCACCCCGGAGGCCCACUGGCCAGAGCUGGGGGCGUGGUAUGGGUGGGCUGUGGGUCACAGCUGGCUAUACUCACCUGGCCGCACUGGAAGACAUUAUUGAUCCACUUGGUGAAAGUCUUCUCCUGCAUCUGCAUGUGCCGGGCCUGUAGCUUGCGAAUGUGGCCCGUCUCGUACUGAGAGUCCAUGGUGAGACUUGGACUGGGUGGGACCCGGAGUUCUGUGCUGGGCCUCCUGCUGCGGUGCCCUGCAGCCCCCAGGAGCUCCCGGGGGCUGUGGGGCUGACCAGCCAUCAGCCCUGCAGACUUUGGGGAUGAGGAGCUGCUGGAUGGCUCCCUAAACCUGGAGGGCAUGCAGAUUAGGGGAUGAUGUGAAUGGAGAUGGCCCCUCUGCCAGGGGCCUGGGGUCCCGCCUUGCCAGACUGUCCUCACAUUUCAUGGGGGUUGCAGCUUGGAGCCCAGCCAGGUAAGGGCCAGUGCUUCUGGUCCCCUGUGCUUGAAUGGCCCAGGGCCCCCUUUGCCCCACCCCACCUUCCAGAUUCUUCUUCUCAGAGCCCCUGCUGCCAGGUCCCUCCACCACAGUGACUGGGACAGGUGGAAGGAAGAAAGGAAACUGCUUACCUUGGUGAUGUCUGGGUCCCACAGAGGCGGCCCAGCUGGAUGGAUGGAGAUGGCAGAUAGCAGGGGCUGUGCAGGGAGGGAGAGGGACAUCAGAAGAGGCCAAGGCUGGAGCAGGGCUGCACCACAGCCCUCCCCUUGAGCCAGCGUGCUGGGGUGACGGCACACAGGCGGCAUUGUCCUCCCACCUGCCACAGGGCGUGGCCCAGACAGGGAGGGGGUGGUUCAGGAAUGCUCCAGGGCCAUUGCCAGAUGAUCUCCUCCUUCAUCAUCCUCCCUUCCCCGCCAGCAACUUCCCCAACUCCAGGUGGGGGUCCUGGCUCCCAGGACGCAGAGGCCCGUGGAGCGGCCCUGCCACCGCAUGGGGUGCUGCAGUCUGCGUAGGAGGCACCAAAGGGCAGAGCCUCUGUGGGAAGCCUGUGGACGCACUUCCCAAUCUGAGACUGCCCUCUGUACCCUCGUGGGUCCUCUCUGUGAGCACCCAGGGCGAGGGGAUGAGGGAGCGUCCUAGGCCGUGGUCUUCUCAUUCACCCACAGGGAACAGCCCAUAGACUGAGGGCCUCACAGACCCUGGGCUUGGCUUUCCAGGCCCUGCCAGAGUGCAGCCUGCCUAGCCCGGGGCUGAAGGGUGGGCUCCCUGGAGGAAGGGGCGACCUGGAACUGCGAGGGCUGUGGAGUCUCCUCCAAAAUUAGAGACACGGUGUUAACUCUGGGCUCCACAGAGCUGGCGGUGGCCCGGGGCUCAGAGGCAGGGGUGCAGAGGGAGCUGGUGGGCGCCUAUCCCUUCCUCCCUGAGCAGCCGUGGACUACAUGCCAGAGUGAAGGCGAGUUCUAAUUCUGGGGGUCUCACCCGCCUCUGGCUAAACUCAGGGUAGCAGUGUGGGCUGGGGUGUGUGUGUGUGGGUGUCUUCCAGCAGCCCUGGAGCCUCUGAAGCGACAGCCCGCUCCUCAGGGAGGCGCUCCUGGCAGCCACAGCCCACAGCAGGACAGCCGCUCAGCGCGCCCUUGAGAGCUGGGCUAGGGAUGAGUCACACUUGAACCGCCUGGGCCCACUGCAGGCAGUCAGGGGUGACGCUGAGAGGUGCCGUGGUCUCGGGUGGGGUGCGGCUUCCUGCGUCUGAGAGACGCUUCCUCUCCUGCUGUCCUCUCCCUGCCAGGCCCCUUCUGCACCGGCUGGCUUCCAGACAACCUGCAUUCCUCCCUUGCUUGCAGCAGUUGCUGUGGCGGUCCUCCCGUGCACCCCCCCUUCUGCCCUCACUGCCCCUGGGGGUCCUCAUCACGGACCCCCUAACUCGGCAUCCUGGGCACCACCACCCCGCACCUUUCCACAGUGCAGCUCUGCUCACGCCUGUGAAGCCUCCCACAGCCUGGGAAGGAAAACCCAGACUUGCCAGACCUUGCCUCCGCCAGGCCUUUGAAGCCCGCCAGCUUACCUAACCAGUAAGACCCUCAGCCCAUGGAGUCCUGUGUGAUGUUGUGAGCGUGGGAGGACAGACUGAACUGCUCGGCCCGUGGAGUCCUGUGUGAUGUUGUGAGCGGGGAGGACAGACUGAACUGCUCGGCCCGUGGAGUCCUGUGUGAUGUUGUGAGCGGGGAGGACAGACUGAACUGCGUGGUGCUUCGCACAUAGACCUCAACAGGGAUUGGCAUUUUGAAGCUGUUGGCGGGGGCUGUGGACUGCUUUUCUUCCUUUCUAGCUCAACGGCAGCUAAAGCCACUGCAUACAAUGCAAGGACUGGCUCCUGUUUGGCCGCGACUGAUUGCAGCCCCUGGUGAAAUGAGAACCCUGUGGGUCGGAACAAAGUUUGGAUUAUUUAUGUUGCAAGUAACUAAAAUCUCAAGUGAAACUGG